rnacentral:lncRNA from 1 species
CACACACACACAAAGUAUUACAAUUUCUAAAACAAAAUUCAUCCCAGUGAGAAAAUAAUGCCAAAUCAUCGUCAACUCUCAUUAAUCAAAGGAAAAAGAUCAGAAAAGAGGAAGAAACAAUAUACAACAGACGGCUGGUUCAAGCUUAGAUGAAGCCAAAGUAUUGCAAUGCCUACGUAUAUAACUUAGUGAAGUACUUUGAUCUUGAUCUUGGUUAAGACUUGUUCCAACAAUAAAGAAAAUUGUUGAACGGAAUCUCGGUCACCUGAUUAAGCAAAACAAGGAAAUUAGCUAUACCAUUUACUAUAAUGAAAGUAAAAACAGUAAAAAGUAAACCAAUAAUAAAAAAACUGAUGCUAGGCUAAUCGUAAAUGCUAAUGUCGCUGUAAAUAAAUGACAGGCAUAAGUCCAAUUUCAUGUUGAUGGACUUGUAAAGGCAUCAAAAAGAAAAUAAGUAGCAUAAAUGAAAAAGACAUAAAGGGUCAAAUGAAGGUUAAAUGAGAUGUCAUGACGAACCUCACGUGUUUAAUGUCUAUCUCCUUUCUCGAUUUCAUGCGACUCAUAACAUGUUUCACUUUUUUUAUUAAGCUCACAAAUAUCACAAGUUUUUAGUUAUCAUAAUCUUAAUUUCUAUGUCCAAUAGCAUUGAUAAAGUAAUUAUUUAUCAUUCAAACAAAUUUGGUAUUAUCUUUAGUCACUUUGAAAUGUCUAAUCGUUGAAGAUGAGCGUAAAAUGCCAUAGUUGCUGAAAAACAAGCUCAUGCCAAAGUUCGAACUCUAUACCUCUAGCAUAUAGGGGAUCUUGAACCCAAAGUAUUGAAAAUGUCGAUCAAAAGGAAGAGGAGAUAAACUUGACGAUGAAACUCUAAUGGAAAGACGUUAAACUUUUGGAAGAAAAAAGCAAAAGAUGUUUAAGGGACUCAUGUCAAGAACUCAUGUCAAAAUAAAACUGGUAAUGGAUAAACUCGGGACUCAUCAAGAUAAAAAAUAAAAAAGAACCUACCUCGUGCUAUUGCAUCUUCUUUCCUUCUCAACUCCUGCAAAAUAUAAAGUUAACAUUCAGUUACUACAAGGACAAAUUAAUCUAAGAGCAAAAUGAAUAGCAAAAUCACCUUACAUACAACACAGUUACAUAUGCAUUCGAACAUAUAAGAACAAAUUACCUGUUCAUGUUUAUUCAGUUCAGCCUCUUUUUCUUUAAGUUCCUUCUCUCUUGCUUUUAGAUCAUAUAUAUUUUAAUCAUAUAUAAGACAAAAACAUCAAAAGAAGUCUAUGAUUUUAAUCAUAUAUAUUUUAAUCAUUUUGUGACCAAAGAAUGGAUGUUGGGUAGAAAAUAUAUAAGAAAAUGCAUUGAGAAUCAGACAAAUGUACUUCAAAGUUAACAUAUAAAAUUAACAUAGAAAAAAAAUUAACUUUUAUGAAUGAUAUAACAGCAUAAAAAAUAUCUUCUAUCAUAUAAAAAACCUCAAUUAUUGAUGGUUUUUUUACUUAAUAGUUUUAAUUAAUCAUGAGGUCUCAAAACAACCACAAUUGUUACUAACGCUAAAAACAAGAUAGUGGUUGUACCUUGUGAAAAAAAGCAAAUUAUUUCUCUUGUAAUUUAUAUGAAAAUUUAAACCAUUUAAACACGAAAUGCAAAGUACAAACACAGUUCCUGCUCAGAGGCCCCCCGGGUAAACAAUCAAUAAGUUUCUAAUUUCAACUUAACAUUUGCCCUUCCUCUUUUGGUUUAAAACUCAAAGUUUUUAUGAUUUUUUUUAUAUUUUUCUUGUCAAAUUUACUGUUAAUAUAAUAUUAUAUUUGAAGUUUGUAUAUGUCUCUUUCAAUAAUAUUACCUUCAAAAUUUAAACAUACAUUCUCUUUUUAAAAUGUAAUAUAAGUUAUCACUUCACUCAAUAUUAUUUCAUCUAUCAAUUCAAGUUUUUAUGACAUAGACAGAAUCAAACUAGAAAUCUUCUCAUAAAAUUAGCUACCUAUAAUUGUUUCAAAGCUACAGCUUAGGGUAAGUCAGUUUUCAUAUGACUAAAUAGUAAACAGUAACCAAUCUGAGUUAAAAAAGAAAAAGGGAAAAAUAAUAGAUAACCAGAUGAGAAGAUUUAUAUCUAUACAA